UACGUAGGGGGCAAGCGUUGUCCGGAAUCAUUGGGCGUAAAGCGCGUGUAGGCGGCUGGCUAAGUCCGCUCUGAAAGCCCGGGGCUCAACCCCGGGAGGCGGGUGGAUACUGGUCAGCUCGAGUCCGGAAGAGGAGUGUGGAAUUCCUGGUGUAGCGGUGAAAUGCGCAGAUAUCAGGAGGAACACCAAUGGCGAAGGCAGCACUCUGGGACGGUACUGACGCUCAUGCACGAAAGCGUGGGGAGCAAACAGG
rnacentral:rRNA from 1 species